AAUGGCGUAUACAAAGAGAAGCGACCUCGCGAGAGCAAGCGGACCUCAUAAAGUACGUCGUAGUCCGGAUUGGAGUCUGCAACUCGACUCCAUGAAGUCGGAAUCGCUAGUAAUCGUAGAUCAGAAUGCUACGGUGAAUACGUUCCCGGGCCUUGUACACACCGCCCGUCACACCAUGGGAGUGGGUUGCAAAAGAAGUAGGUAGCUUAACCUUCGGGAGGGCGCUUACCACUUUGUGAUUCAUGACUGGGGUGAAGUCGUAACAAGGUAACCGUAGGGGAACCUGCGGUUGGAUCACCUCCUUA
rnacentral:rRNA from 1 species